rnacentral:rRNA from 1 species
UACGGGGGGGGCAAGCGUUGUUCGGAAUUACUGGGCGUAAAGGGCUCGUAGGCGGCCAACUAAGUCAGACGUGAAAUCCCUCGGCUUAACCGGGGAACUGCAUCUGAUACUGGAUGGCUUGAGUUUGGGAGAGGGAUGCGGAAUUCCAGGUGUAGCGGUGAAAUGCGUAGAUAUCUGGAGGAACACCGGUGGCGAAGGCGGCAUCCUGGACCGGCAUUGACGCUGAGGCGCGAAAGCCAGGGGAGCAAACGGG